rnacentral:misc_RNA from 1 species
AAGUCGUAACAAGGCAACCGUAGGUGAACCUGCGGUUGGAUCAUUAAUGUAAUAAAUUUUUAUUAAUUAAUGGUUGAGCUUUUUUCUCUGAUCAAAAGGAGUAAAAGUUCACCAACACCCCAAAAAUUAUCUUGCUUCAAUUAUUUUGUCCUGGUUUUAGUGUUUAACAAAGUUAAGUUCCUUUAGAGGUUCCUGAUUUUGCUAAACACUACUACUAAUUAUAUAAACAUUUUAUUUUAUUAUUCAAGUUAUCUAUUAAAAAGAUAAAACAACUUUUGACAAUGGAUCUCUUGGCUCUC